UACGGAGGGUGCAAGCGUUGUCCGGAUUUAUUGGUUUAAAGGGUGCGUAGGCGGCCCUCUAAGUCAGUGGUGAAAUACUGCAGCUUAACUGUAGCAUUGCCAUUGAUACUGGAGGCUUGAGUACAGAUGAGGUAGGCGGAAUUAUGGUGUAGCGGUGAAAUGCAUAGAUACCAUAAAGAACACCUAUUGCGAAGGCAGCUUACUAA
rnacentral:rRNA from 1 species